rnacentral:rRNA from 1 species
GACGAACGCUGGCGGCGUGCUUAACACAUGCAAGUCGAACGGAAAGGCCCUGCUUUUGUGGGGUGCUCGAGUGGCGAACGGGUGAGUAACACGUGAGUAACCUGCCCUUGACUUUGGGAUAACUUCAGGAAACUGGGGCUAAUACCGGAUAGGAGCUCCCGCUGCAUGGUGGGGGUUGGAAAGUUUCGGCGGUUGGGGAUGGACUCGCGGCUUAUCAGCUUGUUGGUGGGGUAGUGGCUUACCAAGGCUUUGACGGGUAGCCGGCCUGAGAGGGUGACCGGCCACAUGGGGACUGAGAUACGGCCCAGACUCCUACGGGAGGCAGCAGUGGGGAAUAUUGCACAAUGGGCGGAAGCCUGAUGCAGCAACGCCGCGUGCGGGAUGACGGCCUUCGGGUUGUAAACCGCUUUCGCCUGUGACGAAGCGUGAGUGACGGUAAUGGGUAAAGAAGCACCGGCUAACUACGUG